rnacentral:rRNA from 1 species
GUCCGCACCGUAAACGAUGAUUACUCGCUGCUAGGGGGCAACUCUUAGUGGCUUAGCGAAAGCGAUAAGUAAUCCACCUGGGGAGUACGCCGGCAACGGUGAAACUCAAAGGAAUUGACGGGGGCCCGCACAAGCGGAGGAGCAUGUGGUUUAAUUCGAUGAUACGCGAGGAACCUUACCAGGGCUUGAAAGUUAGGGAAUAACUCUGAAAGGAGUUAGUCAGCAAUGACCCGAAACUAGGUGCUGCAUGGCUGUCGU